rnacentral:rRNA from 1 species
UAGGGAAUAUUAGAAAUGGACGAAAGUCUGAUCUAGCAACACCGCGUGUGCGAAGAAGGCCUUCGGGUUGUAAAGCACUUUUUGGAAGGAUUAGGAAGGAAUGUACUUCCAGAAUAAGUCUCGGCUAACUACGUGCCAGCAGCCGCGGUAACACGUAGGAGGCAAACGUUAUCCGGAUUUACUGGGCGUAAAGCGCGUGUAGGUGGUUCUGUAAGUAGGGCGUGAAAGCUCCUGGCCCAACUGGGAGAGGCCGUUCUAAACUGCAGAGCUAGAGGAUGGUAGAGGGAGGUGGAAUUCCGGGUGUAGCGGUGGAAUGCGCAGAUAUCCGGAGGAACACCAGUGGCGAAAGCGGCCUCCUGGACCAUUCCUGACACUCAGACGCGAAAGCUAGGGUA